rnacentral:rRNA from 1 species
AUCAUGGCUCAGGAUGAACGCUAGCGGCAGGCUUAACACAUGCAAGUCGAGGGCAGCAUAAUGGAUAGCAAUAUCUAUGGUGGCGACCGGCGCACGGGUGCGUAACGCGUAUGCAACCUACCUUUAACAGGGGGAUAACACUGAGAAAUUGGUACUAAUACCGCAUAAGCCCACGGCUCGGCAUCGAGCAGGGGGAAAAGGAGCAAUCCGCUUUGAGAUGGCCUCGCGUCCGAUUAGCUUGUUGGUGAGGUAACGGCCCACCAAGGCGACGAUCAGUAGCCGGCCUGAGAGGGUGAACGGCCACAUUGGGACUGAGACACGGCCCAAACUCCUACGGGAGGCAGCAGUGGGGAAUAUUGCACAAUGGGGGAAACCCUGAUGCAGCGACGCCGCGUGAGUGAUGAAGUAUUUCGGUAUGUAAAACUCUAUCAGCAGGGAAGAUAAUGACGGUACCUGACUAAGAAGCACCGGCUAAAUACGUG